rnacentral:rRNA from 1 species
UACGAAGGGUGCAAACGUUGCUCGGAAUCAUUGGGCGUAAAGCGCACGUAGGCGGCUUCGCAAGUCGGAUGUGAAAUACCUAGGCUCAACCAAGGACGUGCAUCCGAAACUGCGAGGCUUGAGUACAGAAGAGGAUCGCGGAAUUCCCGGUGUAGAGGUGAAAUUCGUAGAUAUCGGGAGGAACACCAGUGGCGAAGGCGGCGAUCUGGGCUGAUACUGACGCUGAGGUGCGAAAGCGUGGGGAGCAAACAGGAUUAGAACC